AGCGUUGUUCGGAUUUAUUGGGCGUAAAGGGUGCGUAGGCGGCGCGGUAAGUUAAGUGUGAAAGAGCAGGGCUCAACCCUGAAAUUGCACUUCAUACUGCCGCGCUAGAGUUUUGUAGAGGAGAUUGGAAUUUACGGUGUAGCAGUGAAAUGCGUAGAUAUCGUAAGGAACACCAGUAGCGAAGGCGAAUCUCUGGGCAAUAUCUGACGCUGAGGCACGAAGGCUGGGGGAGCAAACGGGAUUAGAUACCCCGGUAGUCCCAGCAGUAAACUUUGCACGCUAAGUGCCGGAGGGUUCAUCCCNUUCGGUGCUGUAGCUAACGCACUAAGCGUGCCGCCUGGGAAGUACGAUCGCAAGAUUAAAACUCAAAGAAAUUGACGGGGGCCCGCACAAGCGGUGGAGUAUGUGGCUUAAUUCGAUGCAACGCGAAGAACCUUACCAGGCCUUGACAUGUAUCGCUAAGAUGGUGAAAGCCAUUGAUGAUAGAAAUAUUAACCUUACACAGGUGCUGCAUGGCUGUCGUCAGCUCGUGUCGUGAGAUGUUGGGUUAAGUCCCGCAACGAGCGCAACCCUUGUAAAUUGUUGAUAUAGUAUUUCACUAAUCACUCUAUUUAGACUGCCCUGUGAAACGGGGAGGAAGGUGGGGAUGACGUCAAGUCAGGAUGGCCCUUACGGCCUGGGCUGCACACGUACUACAAUGCUCAGUACAAAAUGAACCGAGACUGCAAAGUUUAGGAAAUCUAUAAAACUGAGCUUAAUUCGGAUUGCAGGCUGCAACUCGCCUGCAUGAAGUUGGAAUCGCUAGUAAUGGCACAUCAGCUACGGUGCCGUGAAUACGUUCCCGGGCCUUGUACACACCGCCC
rnacentral:rRNA from 1 species